AUUUUUUCUGAGGAUUAUUUGGGUAAAAUAUGGUGUUCUUCUUCUUCUUCUAUUAGAAAGACAUAUAGUCAUAUUUUCCUGCUCAGAUUGGUGGCAUGCUAACAAAGCUGUUAUAAGAAUCAGUUGUUUUCUUUCUCAUACUUCAAUGUGUAAACAUAAACUUUCUUUAGGCAUUGUACUUUUCUUCCCCAUUUCAAUGCAAAUGUAGCGGGGAUGAGACUGCCCAUGACAGUUCACUGCAUUCUGUGACCUCCGAAAGUAGCACAUAUUUUCUUUAUUAGCUUUUGUGAUUUCCUCUAUUCUUGUUUUUCUAUUUGGAUCUCUAUCUGUAAAUAAUUGUGGGGACAAUUUUGGAUCUUCUGCAUCAUGAUCCUUAAAAUAGAAGCUCAAUAUCUUGAGUUUCUUCAUUUUUGUAGCCUUUUUACUCUUCUGUUUCACAAUCCCUAUCAUCGAGAAGCUGAAGGUGCUCGGAGCUAUUGUUGUAUUGGAAUGAUUCAAUAUAUUUUUCUUUCUCAAAUUAUUUCCAGAAUAUAGAGAUUUCAAGUUUUCUAUUUCUGACACUGUAACCAUAUAUUAAUCUGAAGGACUUUGAGUAUGUAGCACUGGAAGAAGUCUUGCAUUAUUACGUUCAGGGAUACCAUGGAGUUGUUAAAGAAGGAAGACCGAUCUACAUCGAGAGACUUGGUAAAGCUGAACCAAACAAGCUUAUGCACAUUACAAGAGUAGAUAGCUACUUAAGGUAUCAUGUACAGGAGUAUGAGAAGGUCUUCCUCUAUGAAAGUUCAUUAAUAUGAGGACGUAUCCAAUAAGAUGAAGGGAAGAAGACAAUUGAACUUGAAAUAUGCAUUGGAUAGAAUGGUAACACUGGAAAUAUAAAAGCUACCAGGCGCAGCAUGUCAUCAGGUUUAGAGAUAAAGCUUGAUGAGCUGUGGAAAGAGCUCUCUUCAAGUCAUGAAGGAAUAUUGCCACAUACCAUUCUUUCCACCCAACAGAUCAGUACGUUAAGCGCCGAAAAACCAACUUCCAUGGAGCAGCUAAGGACUAGCCUAGUUCUGACUAUCAUAGGAGCAGUUUUCAAAGGGCUAAUGGUGGGUGAUCCACUCUUCUCGCUGCAUACAAGUGGGGCAAUCCAGAGUUCAAAUCACUUCAGCCUUUUGACGCCACUCGUGCUAGGAGUAGACCAUAUAGAGGAUUUGUUUUUAUUUAUAUUCAAGACCAUUUAUUGUAAUAAAUUUUGUUUAAUAUUCAGUUUUAUUUGUAUUGCAUCA